rnacentral:rRNA from 1 species
AUGGCUACACAAACAGUUGAAGAUAGUUCUAAACCUAGGCCAAAACGAAGUGGUGCAGGUAGUUUACUGAAACCCUUGAAUUCGGAAUAUAGGAAAGUCGCCCCGGGUUGGGGGACUCCUUUUAUGCGGGUUGCAAUGGCUUUAUUCGCUAUAUUCCUAUCUAUCAUUUUAGAAAUUUAUAAUUCUUCCGUUUUACUGGACGAAAUUUUAACCAAUUAG